rnacentral:rRNA from 1 species
CCUACGGUGGGCAGCAGUGGGGAAUAUUGGACAAUGGGCGAAAGCCUGAUCCAGCCAUGCCGCGUGUGUGAAGAAGGCCUUCGGGUUGUAAAGCACUUUCAGUGGGGAAGAAAGCCUUGGGGCUAAUACCCUCGAGGAAGGACAUCACCCACAGAAGAAGCACCGGCUAACUCCGUGCCAGCAGCCGCGGUAAUACGGAGGGUGCGAGCGUUAAUCGGAAUUACUGGGCGUAAAGCGCGCGUAGGCGGUCUGAUAAGCCGGUUGUGAAAGCCCCGGGCUCAACCUGGGAACGGCAUCCGGAACUGUCAGGCUAGAGUGCAGGAGAGGAAGGUAGAAUUCCCGGUGUAGCGGUGAAAUGCGUAGAGAUCGGGAGGAAUACCAGUGGCGACGGCGGCCUUCUGGACUGACACUGACGCUGAGGUGCGAAAGCGUGGGUAGCAAACAGGAUUAGAUACCCUAGUAGUC